rnacentral:lncRNA from 1 species
GAAAGAGAUGUUGUGCUGAGUUUUUUUUCUUUGCAAAAUGUCUCCCCUUCAUCUACCAAUACCAGAUUUUUUUGUGUGUGUGUGAGUGUGUGCGUGUGUGUGUGUAGUGUUUUUUCUCUAUCACUCUUUUUUUUUUUUUUUUCCCUUUCCUCCUCCUUUUCAGCUGGGCUGUUGUUUGAGUGAAUUUAGCCUGGGGAAGCAUGUAUAUCAUAAAAACUGGGUUGGGAUUUGUUGGCUGUCAGUCAAUAAAUCAGUCAGAGUUUAAUUACCAGGCAUGUGAUGGGAAGCGGUGACAGGCACCAGGUUGCUUCACAGCUGCCUCUGUGACUUCAUCUUUGUGACUCUGGAUGCCCAGCAAGACCUCCUGGAGUUCACCUGCAGGACCUCUUCCCAUCCAAUUUUAAAUUGUUCCUGUCAUUUCUACCUGACUACAUGUAAACUUCCUAUUGUUUUCUCCCUACUCUCUGUCAACUUUUUUCACUCUUCUUAGAUAGUAAACUACUCAGAGCAGAAACCUUCCUUCUUGAAUGUUUGGCAAGUGCCUAGCAUACAGUGGGGACUACUAUAAAUGUGCAACAAGUAACUCUAGACCUUACAUUGCAUACAUAUUCAAACCAUAUGGGAAGUGAUAUACAGAGCAGGGUUGCAGGAGCCAUCUCUUAACUGCAGUCACAGAAGAUCAGAAGAGGGAGGUGGAAGAGGGAAAGAAUGUAAAUUUCAGGUGGGAAAGGUUAAGAUCACAUGAAGACUUUCAUUCAGUGAAAAUUUUUGUGAAAUUUCCCCCUUUAAUGAGCAUUUUUCUCCUUUGCCUCCAUUUCCUCUGAUAGUGGCUGGGGGUUUUUGCAGCAAAGGAAAACAGUUUUGAAAUGGAUACCUUUUUCUGUUUCGUAUGAACCACCAGUAGCACUGGUUUAAUGAGACCUCAGUCCUAAAUGUCUUGUGGAUCUAAAGAAAAAU